AACGUGGGUGGCAAGCGUUAUCCGGAUUUACUGGGCGUAAAGCGUGUGCAGGCGGGGGUACAAGUGGUGUAUGAAAUUUCCCAGCUUAACUGGGAAGGGUUAUGCCAGACUGUACUUCUGGAGUGCGAGAGAGGGGCGUGGAAUUCCGGGUGUAGUGGUGAAAUGCGUAGAGAUCCGGAGGAACCCCAGAGGCGAAGGCGGCGCCCUGGCUCGCAACUGACGCUCAGACACGACAGCAUGGGGAGCGGAACGGG
rnacentral:rRNA from 1 species